CAUUAUCAUGCCUGGGCCAGGCAGUGUCUUUGCAAAAAACUUUACUGCAUAUGUACACAUUGGUUGUUUGUCCAAUCUUAUGCAUGGUGGCCAGCAGUAGUCAGUGCCACUCAGCAACGGCACAUGUGGCUUCCCACAAAAAGAUAAGCAUGCUUCAAGCAGGCAGAGUCCACGAGGCAGAGAGUAAUGGAAAGGCUAGAGACUGGAGCAGGGAAGGAGUCGGCUGCCGGUGUUGACCUGAAAGCUGUUCUUGGCCUCCCUGAAGGCACUUCCAGGUACCAGACCCAGACAGGCACAUUGAACUGGGCUGAACAGAACAGGAAGGUGAUGAGAACUUCCUACCGAGCCUUCCAGAAUAUUGAGAUUUAUGUCUGAAAAAUCAGGACACAAGCAGGGAACAUCUGUGGUGUUCAACUUACACAGUGAAUGGCUUUUUCCCGGCUCUUACAUCACCAGGAUGACAAGCCAACCCACGGUAACUUCCCUGGCACUUUUUUGCUGGAGAAAGUAUGUCCCCCUUUCUCCCUCCAGCCCCACCAUGAAAGGGAAAAGUCUAUCUUCAAAUACAAAGGGAGAUACUUCCUACGGCAUGAAAGUGAGCUAGAUACUAAAUGAAGCGUCCCAACGUCCACCCCUUCAUGGGCUUGGAAGAAGAGUGCAUUGUGCAUUUAGUAAACGCAGCUGGAGGUAGAAAAGCC
rnacentral:lncRNA from 1 species